AUGGGUUUUAGGGUCUCCCAGUUGGAUUUUGGGAUCCGUCAAUGGGUUCUGUGGUCUCCCAGUUGGGUUCUGGGGUCACUCAAUGGGUUUUGGGGUCUCUCAGUGGGUUUUGGGGUCUCCUGGUUGGGUUUUGGGGUCUCCCGGUUGGGUUUUGGGGUCACUCAAUGGGUUUUGGGGUGUCCCAGUUGGAUUUUGGGCUCUCCCAGUUUGGAUACUGGGCUCUCCCAGUUUAGAAUUUUGGGCUCUCCCAGUUUGGAUGCUGGGCUCUCCCAGUUUGGAUGCUGGGCUCUCCCAGUUUGGAUUUUGGGCUCUCCCAGUUUGGGUGCUGGGCUCUCCCAGUUUGGAUGCUGUGCUCUCCCAGUUUGGAUGCUGUGCUCUCCCAGUUUAGAUUUCUGCUCUCCCAGUUUAGAUUUCUGCUCUCCCAGUUUGUUUUUUAUGCUCUCCCAGUUUGGAUUUCUGCUCUCCCAGUUUAGAUUUGCGCUCUCCCAUUCAGAUGCCGCCUCUCCCAGUCCCCCCCCCUCAGUUCCAAUAUUUCCCCGUUCUAUUUCCCACUGCCCCCCCGUAGCUCGGUGUCCCCCUGUGGUCUGUGUGUUUAUUUGGGGGGGGGUCUCCCCUUUUUCCCCCUUGCCCCCCCCCAUAACCGUUCCCUUUGCAGAUAGCGGCGAAAAUCGGGGGGGAUGCGGCCACGACGGUCAACAACAGCGGCCCGGAUUUCAGCUUCGGGGGGCAAAAACGGCAGCUGGAGGAC
rnacentral:lncRNA from 1 species